CUUUUGGAUGCCGUUGCCUGGUCAUUUGGAAUUAUGGGAUUAAAAUCAGUCCCGCUGGAGUUCGCGGGGUUCGCAAGCCUGUAAACGCUCAGUAGGUCGAAUUGCUUCCCUGCAUUUAUGUCGAAGGGGCAAUUUACACCGGAAAGAGUGACUGUCAAGUGACAAGCUGUUAGGGAGAUGCUUGACCCCUCCCCCCUCUCUCUGGGGUGCUUUCCUGCAUAUGGGCUUCUAGGACUGUUUGCAAGGCUAGGACCCCUUCGCGGUAGGAAAGCAACACACACACACACACACACAGAGAGAGAGAGAGAGAGAGAGAGAGAGAGAGAGAGAGAGAGUUCCACAGUCUGCGAUCUGGCAAAUGCCAUUUUUGAAUACCACCAUCUCGUCCUAUUAAUGCAAGGCUACAUUGAUCAAUGUGAUUGCCAUUAAAUUUACCAUACGAAUGUGUACAGGAAGACGGAUGCUCUGAACUAAAUGUUUGCCCUAAUUAUAUAUAGUUACAGUCAAUGACUGUACCCAGAAUUUACAUGGUGAACUAAUACUUAAAGGCCCAAUUACAUGGACACCGCUGGCUUCGAAAAAUCCAUUUGCUUCAACUGCAGUUUCGCACGUGCUCAAAUAUCUCGCGUUGAAAUACAAGUUAACUUUGGCCGGAUUUAUAAGAAACGUAUCCAAAAAAUAGGAUAUAUUUAUUUCAAAGCGUUGCGUUCAGAAAGUGGGAAAGGAAGCAUUAUGUAGCCUCAAAACGGAACUUUGCGCCGGACCCUUUUCCUUGGAAAAGAACCUAAAACAGCUGGUUUCCUCCAAGCUUUCUGAAAAAUGCCUCCCUUUCUUAUCGCACAAUAAAACGUACCUAUAUGCAAGCUGAGGAGUAGUAGUAAUAGCAGCAGCAGCAGUACCAUUGGAGUCAUUAUUGCACAGCCCUUCUAAUAUUCUGCCACCUCCCUCGAUCGAUUGUUUCAUUUGAUUUGAUGCUGUCCUUGUUUUUGCGAACUGACAGUACCGAGAAUGUAUAUAUAUUUUCCAAACAGCUCUUACGACAGGAAAGAAACCGGCUCUGACUUGUUUUCGCGAUGCUGUUUUGUAACAAUUGCGCACAUUUUCACUGUCUAAUUGGCUCGCAGGGCGUGGGGGGGUUAACCGAGCGAUUUUCUAUCGAGGGAUUUUCUCGGGUCCCCUCGCGUACAGCCGCAAUGCGAUAAGAAUGAAGACUUAAACCGAGCCCCUCGAAGUUUCUCAACUUUUUAAAGACUGAGAUGAAAGGCAGGAUUUUUAGUUUUAAAUUUUUUUUCUUUGCGUAUUUCCAGGCUCUUUUAAAUGAUUUUAGGAUGGGAACCUGAUACCUCUUUCAUUGGCAAGCAGCAUAAUGUCAAUCGUGAUAGCAGAGGGAAGUGAUCUGGCGUUGGGUGGAAGAAUUGAAAUUCUAGUGCAAACAGUGCAGAUUGGAUUUUGAAGUGGUCCUCUGACCUCCGUAUCUCUCGCCUUCUGCGAAGUUCGAAAGUGGUGGUGUGGUCCUUCCUCGCUUCUCUUGGCGACCUGGCUGUGGAGGUAGGGAGAUGGGAGUUGGGCGCCUUCUCUCGAACGCCAAUUAAGAGGAAUAUUAUCGACCCUUUGGUCUGGCUGGAUGGCUUCUUAAGCCAAGGGAAGGGGGAGGGAGUCUGCUCUAUAUUAUACUAGGAGAAAUAUUACUGACCCACGCCUUUAGGAUUAAUGGUUUCUAGAUGGAACCUUGACUCUUUAGUUGUUUUCACAAUGUACGCUGCUUUUACUUUUUAAUGAUUUUUGUUUUAUUUGGGUAUUCUAGUUUUUCAGCUUUACUGCUACUUGUGCAUGCGUGUUUGUGUGUUUACAAUGUGUUGUUUUUUUGUAAACUGCUUAGAGACUGCCUUGGCCUUAGGUGGCAUAUAAAUAGAUGAAGAAGAAGAAGAAGAAGAAGAAGAAGAAGAAGAAGAAGAAGAAGAAGAAGAAGAAGAAGAAGAAGAAGGGCUUCACUUCCCACCAGGACUGGUGCCAAAGAAGGUCGUUUGCCCGGGUGUGUCCCUUUCCUUAAAACAGCUCAUCUGAAAACGGACUCUUCUCAAUUAAGCGCACCUCUUGCUUUGGAGCCUAUCAACCAGACCGUCCCUCGUCUUGGCGCAGGAUCAAAUUCUCUGGGGAUUGAUUGGUGGGUCGACCACAAAGCAACUUCUCUCUCUCUCUCUCUCUCUCUCUCUGUAUGUGUGUGUGUGUGUUUGCUUGUGUGCCUUUGGCUGCAGUGGGCCUUCUCAGUCCCAUUGUUGUGGAGGGCCGGGGGUCAUUGUGCUAUGCCCAACUCCGUGGGUGGUGGUUUCAAGAAGACAUCUGAGUGGGGAGCAGAAGGAUAUUCGGGUCCAGCCUCUUGUUUCCGGGGUUGGGGGUUGGGGUGGACAGUCCUUGUUGUCACCUGUUUUUUUGUCUCAGCUGCUGGCCACCUUGUCUUCCAUAUGGUUGGGGUUAUCUCCGAAGAAUCUCCCAGAGAAUCGCUCCCUUAAACCCCCUUUUGUCUCGGGAGUUGAAAAGGGCAUUGUCAUGCCUGAAAGGGACCAAGACAAAAAAUCCCGCACUGUUUCAAUUCAGGACUGUUUAAUCAGUCCCUAGUGACAAUUUUAUAGGUUUUAGGCGGCACAAUGGUAUCUUUGAAAACCUUGUGGCCUUCAGGGGAGACAAAGAGCCCGAAUUUUAUGGGCUUACAACGCAAAUUAGAACGAUGCCAACAUGGAAGGGAGAUUAUCAAAUUUGUAUCAUAAAAAAGCCUUUAUAACAAAUGAUUGGGUGGGGGAGGGGCUGAGACUUCUAGCAAUAGACUUUGUAGAAGAUAGACUGGAAGCUACUUUGCAUGUUAACUCUUCACUUAAGCCUUGCUUAGGCUUUGUUGAACUCCUGAAUAUAACCUGGCACUUAUUCCCCCCACCUCCCACCCCAAAUUGGUUUUUACGGUAAACAAUCCUCUGCCUUAUUCAAACAACAAAAGCAGCUUUGCAUCCUUCACGAAACAUUCUCCCAAAAAGUAAUAUUUAUGAAAGUGGCAGCAGAUGGAUC
rnacentral:lncRNA from 1 species